rnacentral:lncRNA from 1 species
GGGUGAGGGAGUUAUUUGGUGUCUACUUUCCUAUCAAUUCUGCCCCUCUGUUUCUCUAGCAACCUGACCGCGUAGAAUGAGUGGAUUUGCAGCAAGACAGUUAAAAUAGCAAAGGAUGUAGCAAUCUAACAGAGGAAAGAGAGCUGUGUAAAAAUAUUUUGCUGUCAUAUACGUAGUUUCACUCCCCAGUAUGUACAUAUACCUUGUAGAAUUGAUGAUUUAUGUGAUCAAAAAAGAGAGCUACUUCUGAUAAAUCAGGUUACAGCUUUUCCAGCCUGUGCAUUUACCUAAGAAAAGGGCAUAAAGUAAAACAUAUGCUACUUUAUAUACAGGGAAGACUUCUGGAAAGUUAGCAACAAAGCCAGCUUUAUUACUGUUGAAUAGCUUUCUUCCCAGAGGGCGGGGGGAUUAAUGGAGCCCUCCACAGAGGAGAGGUGAUGGGCAUCUGGUAACCAUCUCCAGACAUAAGCCUACUCACCAUCAUCUUCAUCUUUCAGACCAUGAGCUAGCAGGAUGAGGCCUUGCAGUUUGUUCAUGGAUGUCUCUCAGAACAAGACAGGGACAUUUAACCUACAUGAGAGAUCAACCAGUAAAUCCAGAGUUCUGGGUGGAAUCGAUACAGGCAAACAGCAAUGAGAGGCUGAGGGUGUCUUUGCUGGUCCCACAAAACAUGUAGAGAUGUGGACAAGGAAUUGGGAUUGCAGGACCUGGCAGUUUUCUGGAGCACUGGAGGAUUCCACAGGAGCUGCCCCCAGAUGCCUUCUGCAUUGCCUGGACCUGGUGCUUCCAGCUGUCAGCUCUGGAGCUGAUAUAGCAGCCCUGUGUUUGAGCAGCUGCAGCCCCGGGAAAGUUGUCUUACAGAGUGAAAGGACACCCAGGCUUCUGGCAGAACUGCCAGGUGGCCUCACAGGAGCUACUGUGGGAAUGUUUGGUAACAGAAUGAGGACACAAGCAAUAGCAGAAAAGGAAAGAUCACGUCAUCUUUGGCAUUCUUGGUCCUUGCUUCUAUUCCAGGGAGACCAAAGUUUAGGACACAAUCACAGGAUGAGUUCAGAGUGUUCAUUUCAUCAAGCCAUGAUAAUUGACAGGGUUGAUAAACUAAUACCUACGUGGACAUAGGACAUCAGUUCUGGGAACAGCUGUUUGUGACUCCUGUUUUCCUGGAAGGGCUUUCACCAGAUAUGCUGCAUUUCAAGAGUGCCUUCAGGCUCUGACAGAUGUGCCUGGCCGACCUGCGGUGGCGUCCCCCUGGUGCCUGCUGGGGCAGGGGUGGGAAGGAGCUGGCAGAGGGCAAGCAGAGCAGUCUGGCCACGCAUCUCCUGCUGCCGCUCUGGCUUUUCAGGGUGGUAGGAGCAGCUAGUGGAGGGGAAGCCACGAGGCAUAUGACUGCCUCUGGUUGUUUCCCUCUCUUUUUGCUCUCCUCAGUGCCUGGAGUCAGAAACUCAAAUGGGAAUGUUUUUCUGUUUUAAGAAGUACAUGUAUGUUUGUUUUCUGUGCUCUUCUGCUGUCUGCAGCUGGGCUUCUGGCACGUAUGUAAAGAUAGCAUAAAUCUAAGAGCUGAUCACAUGUAAUGAUUAUUAUCCGGUGCCACUUCUGAGGUAUCCUGGAAGCAUAUCCCAUCACACAGUCAUCUUUUUCCUGUGCUUCAGUGUUAUUAGCAGAGAUAGCCCAUGUUAUCUAGGUUACAUGUAUCAAAACAUACCAAGUUAAAACUAGGCUUUUAAACUAGUUUUAGCAGAACCAAUUUUACAUUCCCUGUAACUGGCUUCUUUUAUACCACGUGUCUUACCACAUGUAAGCCAUGUGUCUUACUGACAGUGACACGAUGAAAUGCAUGUAACCUUUUUUUCAACAAUGUCAACAGAUAAAUGAUUAAGGUAAAUACAGCCAAGCUGUUACAUGAAGAUUUUCAUGACAACUGCAUUUCUUGUACUUUGUAUCAAUAAAAACUAGUAUUCAUAACUUAGUCUAUUAAAA